rnacentral:misc_RNA from 1 species
UGGCUACACUGCUCCAGGUGCAUAUCUUACUUCAACUACUAUAUAUUAAUCAAUUGAUAAUGUUCUUUGAUUGCAUUGCAUUGCAUUACGGCCUAUCAAAUGUAGCAACAAGAGUUCUUUUUUGUAGGAUUUGUGGAUCAAUCUAACUAGAAUACUGUUGGAAAACAAAGGAGAUGGAGAGGAGAGCUCAAAACAAAACUCAAGAACAUAAAAUAGAAACAUAAAUUUUGCAGAAUGUGCAGCAGACAAAAAUAAGGAACGAAAAGCUGGAUUCCUGGCUUUUUUAAAAAGACAUUGCAAAAACUCAAAAUUAACAUAACAACAAGAGACAGGUUGGAGAGAAGAUAAACUCAAAUUUCAUUGCUAAAAAACAGAGGAUAUACAAACAAACACGUAGAUUUUUUUUCUCA